CAUUGGAGAGUUUGAUCCUGGCUCAGGACGAACGCUGGCGGCGUGCUUAACACAUGCAAGUCGAACGGAAAGGCCCUGCUUUUGUGGGGUGCUCGAGUGGCGAACGGGUGAGUAACACGUGAGUAACCUGCCCUUGACUUUGGGAUAACUUCAGGAAACUGGGGCUAAUACCGGAUAGGAGCUCCUGCUGCAUGGUGGGGGUUGGAAAGUUCCGGCGGUUGGGGAUGGACUCGCGGCUUAUCAGCUUGUUGGUGGGGUAGUGGCUUACCAAGGCUUUGACGGGUAGCCGGCCUGAGAGGGUGACCGGCCACAUUGGGACUGAGAUACGGCCCAGACUCCUACGGGAGGCAGCAGUGGGGAAUAUUGCGCAAUGGGCGGAAGCCUGACGCAGCGACGCCGCGUGAGGGAUGACGGCCUUCGGGUUGUAAACCGCUUUCGCCUGUGACGAAGCGUGAGUGACGGUAAUGGGUAAAGAAGCACCGGCUAACUACGUGCCAGCAGCCGCGGUAAUACGUAGGGUGCGAGCGUUGUCCGGAUUUAUUGGGCGUAAAG
rnacentral:rRNA from 1 species